rnacentral:rRNA from 1 species
CUACGUGCCAGCAGCCGCGGUAAUACGGAAGGUCCAGGCGUUAUCCGGAUUUAUUGGGUUUAAAGGGAGCGUAGGCUGGAGAUUAAGUGUGUUGUGAAAUGUAGACGCUCAACGUCUGAAUUGCAGCGCAUACUGGUUUCCUUGAGUGCGCACAACGUUGGCGGAAUUCGUCGUGUAGCGGUGAAAUGCUUAGAUAUGACGAAGAACUCCGAUUGCGAAGGCAGCUGACGGGAGCGCAACUGACGCUUAAGCUCGAAGGUGCGGGUAUCAAACAGGAUUAGAUACCCUGGUAGUCCGCACAGUAAACGAUGGAUGCCCGCUGUUGGUACCUGGUAUCAGCGGCUAAGCGAAAGCAUUAAGCAUCCCACCUGGGGAGUACGCCGGCAACGGUGAAACUCAAAGGAAUUGACGGGGGCCCGCACAAGCGGAGGAACAUGUGGUUUAAUUCGAUGAUACGCGAGGAACCUUACCCGGGCUUGAAUUGCAGAGGAAGGAUUUAGAGAUAA